UACGAAGGGGGCUAGCGUUGCUCGGAAUCACUGGGCGUAAAGGGUGCGUAGGCGGGUCUUUUAAGUCAGGGGUGAAAUCCUGGAGCUCAACUCCAGAACUGCCUUUGAUACUGGAGAGCUUGAGUCCGGGAGAGGUGAGUGGAACUCCGAGUGUAGAGGUGAAAUUCGUAGAUAUUCGGAAGAACACCAGUGGCGAAGGCGGCUCACUGGCCCGGUACUGACGCUGAUGUGCGAAAGCGUGGGGAGCAAACAGGG
rnacentral:rRNA from 1 species